rnacentral:rRNA from 1 species
UACGUAGGGUGCAAGCGUUGUCCGAAAUUAUUGGGCGUAAAGAGCUCGUAGGCGGUUUGUCGCGUCUGCUGUGAAAACUCGGGGCUUAACCCCGGGCCUGCAGUGGGUACGGGCAGACUAGAGUGCGGUAGGGGAGACUGGAAUUCCUGGUGUAGCGGUGAAAUGCGCAGAUAUCAGGAGGAACACCGGUGGCGAAGGCGGGUCUCUGGGCCGUAACUGACGCUGAGGAGCGAAAGCGUGGGGAGCGAACAGG